rnacentral:rRNA from 1 species
AUUGAACGCUGGCGGCAGGCCUAACACAUGCAAGUCGGGCGCGCGGCGGACGGGUGAGUAACGUAUGGGGAUCUGCCUGAUGGCGGGGGAUAACUACUGGAAACGGUAGCUAAUACCGCAUCCCACCAGAUGAACACAUAUGGGAUUUGCGAGUAUGUUAGGUAACGGAUUACCUAGGCGACGAGCCCUAGCUGGUCUGAGAGGAUGAUCAGCCACUAUGGGACGGAGACACGGCCCCGCCUCCUCCGGUAGGCAGCAGUGGGGAAUAUUGCACAGUGGGCGCAAGCCUGAUGCAGCCAUGCCGCGUGUAUGAAGAAGGCCUUCGGGUUGUAAAGUACUUUCAGUCGGGAGGCGUUACCUACAGAAUAAGCACCGGCUAACUCCGUGCCAGCAGCCGCGGUAAUUC